rnacentral:rRNA from 1 species
UGGGGAAUUUUGUGCAAUGGGGGAAACCCUGACACAGCGACACCGCGUGAGCGAAGAAGCCCUUUGGGGUGUAAAGCUCUGUCAACGGGAACGAAAAAAUGACGGUACCCGUGGAGGAAGCAUCGGCUAACUACGUGCCAGCAGCCGCGGUAAGACGUAGGAUGCAAGCGUUAAUCGGAAUUACUGGGCGUAAAGGGUGCGUAGGUGGUUAGUUAAGUUAUCUGUGAAAUCCCUGGGCUCAACCUGGGCAGGUCAGAUAAUACUGAUUAACUCGAGUAUAGGAGAGGGUAGUGGAAUUUCCGGUGUAGCGGUGAAAUGCGUAGAGAUCGGAAGGAACACCAGUGGCGAAGGCGGCUACCUGGCCUAAUACUGACACUGAGGCACGAAAGCGUGGGGAGCAAACGGGAUUAGAUACCCCGGUAGUCCCUGAGCGGGCUGGCAAGGCGCAU